UGGUGUCUCAUUGCCUCAUGAAAAUCCUAAAAAGUGUUCAAUUCUUUAAAACAUUGAUUACACUCUUCCAUUAAAUAUCAGCUGUGGUCCUCCAUUGCUCAUGUUGUCUGUUAUUUCCUGUUAGAAAAAUGACAUGAUUAAUUAAAAUUCGCUUUUGGAGUAAGACAUUGUUUUGGUUAAUGAGUUUGCAAAACAGAAAUUUCAAUCCAUUGAAAAACUUGCUAAGUUUUGGGGAAAGACAAGGAUAUUGCUGUUAUAUUUGAGGAAAUAAAAUUUCAUGGCAUCUUGGAGCACAUGCAAAUGCCAAAGUAAGAGUCAGUUAGACCAAAAUAUUCUCUCCACAACAACGGUCCAUUCUCUCCCCACUUUCCUGAGUUUCCUCUUUCUUUCUUCAACUCAAUUUUGGAAAGACCUCACCUAGAAAGAAGAAGAUGGUUAAAUGCGCAAGUUUUUCUAAUGCAUAGACUCUGCUGAGCAUGUCAACAAAGUGCCAAUGCAUUCUAGAGGUGACCUUUAUUCUACAGGAAAAUGUGUGGCCUUUUUGCUAAGAACAGAAAAAGGCCUACGAGGGCAUCAUUGCUCAUUUGUAACUAUGGAUCACUAAAAAAUCAUAGUGGGAAAGAUUGUUUUUCAUGACACUAUCACUCUUCCAGUAAGAAGCAAAAACAGUGAAGUCUCUUAACAUGUUUUUAAUGGAUCAAUUACUAAAAAGUUAAUAAGUAAAACUAUAUAGAAAAGCACUGAAAAUAUAGAUGCAAAGGACAAACUAGCAUUGAAAGUUUCAUUUUCAAUUAUAUGAAAUACAUUAUGAAAAAUUUUGAUGCUUUUAAUUCAUAUGUUUUGUUAAAUAUUAAACCCUUCCCAACACAAUAAAAAGUGAUAGGAUAUGAAGCCCAUUCAUAUUUUAAUGGUUAGAGCACCAUAGUAAAAUUAUGUUGAUAAAAUUAUCUAAAAAUAAAUUGGCAGCAUCUUUCCAUGCUUGAACAAGCCUAUUUGCAACAGAGCAGAAAAAAAAAAUUAGAAGUGGAAAUUAUUUUCUCAAUUAUUUUAUUUCUAUAUCUAUUUCUAUCUAGCUCUGUUUGGAGAAUCUGCUAGAGAUGUACAUGGUGAAAGUCUCCUAGAGAGGUAAAUGUUGGUAAUAAACACACAUUAAGGACAGUGUUUCUGCCCUGCCAUUGAAGGUAUUACUCAGCUAGAAUAUUCUCUGCCUACAUAGAUCAAAUUCAUAAGGAAUUCAUGGGAUCCAGGAUGGAAUGCAGACUGUAAUAAAAAAUCUAAUCACAUCACAAUUAAGAACACAAUCUCCCUGAAGAGGUGAGCUAAAAUAUAAGUGAGGAGUGUGCAAGGAUGCUGAAUGUUUGGGAAUGAGAGGAUAAAUGAGUGAUGCUUGAAAACAGACCACAUUGAAAAUCCUGCCACGGCAGCAGCUGCAGCCACCAACAGCAGUGGUGUUAGUGACCUAAGUAAGCACCGACUUCGUAGAAACCAGAACAUCAGCCAUCUUGGAAAAGAGAAAAACAAUGGAGUUACUUAUUUAAGAAAAACAAAAAACAAACAAACAAACAAAAAACACAACUAUUUCUUCCCAGGAGAGGCUAGAAGUAGCUUUUCUGCCUUCUGGCCGGAGCCAAUUGGAAUGACUGGUUUGGGAGAGGAGGAGGGGUUGUGUCAGCUGUGGUGCUUUGUUGUAAAAGGCAGCCUGACCUUUGCUACUGAGGAGAAAGAUGGAGCCGAGUCUCAAGCCCACCUUCUCUGUAUCUUUGCCACGUGGUACUGUAUGCCUGCCAGCUAGAAGGAAGGGAAAACACUGUCGAAUGGUCAGAGCUCCUAUCCUGAUCUUUUCAUCAAGGCGCCUUUCCUAAUAAUACGAAUGUGAGCUCUACAGUGUCAGGCGUCUUGGAACUGGAUCAUGG